UACGUAGGUGGCAAGCGUUAUCCGGAAUUACUGGGCGUAAAGCGCACGCAGGCGGUCUUUUAAGUUUGACGUGAAAGCUCCCGGCUUAACUGGGAGAGGUCGUUGAAGACUGGAAGACUUGAGGCAAUGAGAGGGGUGUAGAAUUCCCGGUGUAGUGGUGGAAUGCGUAGAUAUCGGGGGGAAUACCAGUGGCGAAGGCGGCAUCCUGGACCGACAUUGACGCUGAUGAGCGAAAGCUAGGGGAGCAAACGGG
rnacentral:rRNA from 1 species